rnacentral:rRNA from 1 species
GAGUUUGAUCCUGGCUCAGAUUGAACGCUGGCGGCAGGCCUAACACAUGCAAGUCGAGCGGAUGACGGGAGCUUGCUCCUUGAUUCAGCGGCGGACGGGUGAGUAAUGCCUAGGAAUCUGCCUGGUAGUGGGGGACAACGUUUCGAAAGGAACGCUAAUACCGCAUACGUCCUACGGGAGAAAGCAGGGGACCUUCGGGCCUUGCGCUAUCAGAUGAGCCUAGGUCGGAUUAGCUAGUUGGUGGGGUAAUGGCUCACCAAGGCGACAAUCCGUAACUGGUCUGAGAGGAUGAUCAGUCACACUGGAACUGAGACACGGUCCAGACUCCUACGGGAGGCAGCAGUGGGGAAUAUUGGACAAUGGGGCGAAAGCCCUGACUCCACGCCAUCGCCGCGUGUGUAGAA